AUAUAACAAGGUGUGGGAUUUUAUUAACUUCAUCACCGCGAUGAAUGAAAUAAAAACCAAUCUCACAAUCCAACCUUUCCUUCAAGACAAGCCAAGCCAAAGCGAUGUGAAAGAAAAACGAAAAAUGAGAAACAAACAUAAUAAUCAAAUUAAUAACCGAUACACUGAUUUGUCAUUGAAAUGAUAAACAAAUUAAUGAGGAAUUAUUCAUUCAUUUUGAGAACACACCACACUGAAACUUCUCUCUUCCGUCCUCAUCGCAAAGAAUCUAGUGCAAGUAGUAGGUGAGGAAGGAGAAGACGGAGGCACCAAUCAAGGUCCCGAUGGCAGGAGUGGCUGCGAAUGAGCCACUGGAGGGGCCCGGUGCUGGGGCCUCAGCAGCCAAUGCAGUGGUGGCCGAGGCGGCGGCGACGAGGACGAUGCAAGCAAUCAUCUUCAUCUCCAUUCUGGUUAAUUGACUCUUGGGUCGGAGAGAUUAGGUCGCCGGGAGCCUGCCUUCUGGGUUCUCGAAAAAGCUUGGAUGGAGAUCUUUCUCUUGAAUGUUUUUGUCCUUCGAGGGGACAAGGUAUUGGGCGGGAGGGGUUUUAUAGGAGGGCUUGGCGAC
rnacentral:lncRNA from 1 species